AGUAGUUUGAUCCGUGGCUACAAGAACGAACGCUGGCGGCAGGCUUAACACAUGCAAGUCGAACGGGCGUAGCAAUACGUCAGUGGCAGACGGGUGAGCAACACGUGGGAACCUUCCUAGGGGUACGGAACAACUCAGGGAAACUUGAGCUAAUACCGUAUACGUCCGUGAGGAGAAAGAUUUAUCGCCCUUAGACGGGCCCGCGUCGGAUUAGCUAGUUGGUGGGGUAACGGCCUACCAAGGCGACGAUCCGUAGCUGAUCUGAGAGGAUGAUCAGCCACACUGGGACUGAGACACGGCCCAGACUCCUACGGGAGGCAGCAGUGGGGAAUCUUGGACAAUGGGCGCAAGCCUGAUCCAGCCAUGCCGCGUGAGUGAAGAAGGCCUUCGGGUUGUAAAGCUCUUUUGUCAGGGACGAUAAUGACGGUACCUGAAGAAUAAGCCCCGGCAAACUUCGUG
rnacentral:rRNA from 1 species